rnacentral:misc_RNA from 1 species
UGAUGACAUCACGGUUGACAAUGUGGCGGGUUUCUUUGGUGAGUGCACAUGCAACUACCAGGACAUCACAGUUGGCUGCCAAGUCGAGAACAGUUGAGCAGUACUUGUAAUCUGUGUUAGGCUUCUCUGAUCUUGAGUAGUAGCUGAUGGGGCAGCCGAAGGCUUCAGCCCUCUUGGCAAUGGCUAGACCGAUCCUCCCAAGACCGAGGAUACCGACAGUCUUGCCACUGAACUUGGUGGUGAGCUUGUAUUCCCCCUUGACCUUCCACGCCUCCUCCCUCACAUACCGAUCCGC